rnacentral:rRNA from 1 species
GACGAACGCUGGCGGCGUGCUUAACACAUGCGAGUCGAACGGAAAGGCCCUGCUUUUGUGGGGUGCUCGAGUGGCGAACGGGUGAGUAACACGUGAGUAACCUGCCCUUGACUUUGGGAUAACUUCAGGAAACUGGGGCUAAUACCGGAUAGGAGCUCCUGCUGCAUGGUGGGGGUUGGAAAGUUUCGGCGGUUGGGGAUGGACUCGCGGCUUAUCAGCUUGUUGGUGGGGUAGUGGCUUACCAAGGCUUUGACGGGUAGCCGGCCUGAGAGGGUGACCGGCCACAUUGGGACUGAGAUACGGCCCAGACUCCUACGGGAGGCAGCAGUGGGGAGUAUUGCACAAUGGGCGGAAGCCUGAUGCAGCAACGCCGCGUGCGGGAUGACGGCCUUCGGGUUGUAAACCGCUUUCGCCUGUGACGAAGCGUGAGUGACGGUAAUGGGUAAAGAAGCACCGGCUAACUACGUG